rnacentral:hammerhead_ribozyme from 1 species
AUCCAACUGACGAGUCCCAAACAGGACGAACGCGCUCCCUGGAU